rnacentral:rRNA from 1 species
GUGAACGCUGGCGGUAGGCCUAACACCUGCCAGUCGCACGGCAGCACAGUAAGAGCUUGCUCUUACGGGUGGCGAGUGGCGGACGGGUGAGGAAUACAUCGGAAUCUACUUUUUCGUGGGGGAUAACGUAGGGAAACUUACGCUAAUACCGCAUACGACCUACGGGUGAAAGCAGGGGAUCUUCGGACCUUGCGCGAUUGGAUGAGCCGAUGUCGGAUUAGCUAGUUGGCGGGGUAAAGGCCCACCAAGGCGACGAUCCGUAGCUGGUCUGAGAGGAUGAUCAGCCACACUGGAACUGAGACACGGUCCAGACUCCUACGGGAGGCAGCAGUGGGGAAUAUUGGACAAUGGGCGCAAGCCUGAUCCAGCCAUACCGCGUGGGUGAAGAAGGCCUUCGGGUUGUAAAGCCCUUUUGUUGGGAAAGAAAAGCAGCAGGUUAAUACCCCGCUGUUCUGACGGUACCCAAAGAAUAAGCACCGGCUAACUUCGUG